GCAAAGAACAAGUGGCACUCUCCAGUGACUAUCUCGAUGGGCAAUUGACCUUUCGCGAGCGUCUGCUGGUGCGUCAUCACUUGGUGUUCUGCCCGAACUGCCGACGGUUUAUCCGCCAGAUGCGCCUGAUGCAGGCGACGCUGAAGAUCAUGCCGGAUGAACCGGUAGAGGGGGUGGAUGCCUUGGCGCAACGGUUGGCUGAAGAACGGCUCAAGCACCGCAAAGGCGG
rnacentral:sRNA from 1 species